AUUUAAGGGCUGACUGCCAGGGGGUAAGGUUCUUUUUUUUUUUGGAGAUACCUUCAAGCAUAGACUCUUAAUUUGGACAAGAAGAAAAGAAAUAAAGAUGAACAAGAAGGUUGGAAGAAUGAGUGAAGAUGGAAGACCGCACAGAAAGUCAGCUGUGUUGCUGUUGAAGAGAAUGAAGAUAAACAGAGCAUGCACUGUGGACAGGACUGCCUUCUGCUUUCAUCCUUAGCUCUGUGUCCUUGUGCAACACUGCACAUCAGGUGGAUUUUGUCCUCCAUCAGGAGAUCGUUCCUUUUGUAUGCUCUACUGCUUGCCAAGUGCAUCAGGAUCCUUUGGAAGACAAAGAAUGGG
ensembl:lncRNA